rnacentral:rRNA from 1 species
AUUGAACGCUGGCGGCAUGCCUUACACAUGCAAGUCGAACGGCAGCACGGGUGCUUGCACCUGGUGGCGAGUGGCGAACGGGUGAGUAAUACAUCGGAACGUACCUUAUCGUGGGGGAUAACGCAGCGAAAGUUGCGCUAAUACCGCAUACGCCCUGAGGGGGAAAGCGGGGGACCGUAAGGCCGAGCUCGAUCAGAGCGGCCGAUGUCUGAUUAGCUUGUUGGUGAGGUAAAAGAUCACCAAGGCGAUGAUCAGUAGCUGGUCUGAGAGGACGAUCAGCCACACUGGGACUGAGACACGGCCCAGACUCCUACGGGAGGCAGCAGUGGGGAAUUUUGGACAAUGGGGGCAACCCUGAUCCAGCAAUGCCGCGUGAGUGAAGAAGGCCUUCGGGUUGUAAAGCUCUUUUGUCAGGGAAGAAACAGCAGCUCUAACACAGUCUGCGAAUGACGGUACCUGAAGAAUAAGCACCGGCUAACUACGUGCCAGCAGCCGCCGUAA